UCCCUGGUGGCUCAGUUGGCGAAGAAUCUGCCUGCAACGCAGGAGAAUCAGGUUCGAUCCCUGGCGGGGGAA
rnacentral:tRNA from 1 species